rnacentral:rRNA from 1 species
GAUGAACGCUGGCGGCGUGCCUAAUACAUGCAAGUCGAACGCUUCACUUCGGUGAAGAGUGGCGAACGGGUGAGUAAUACAUAAGUAACCUGGCAUCUACAGGGGGAUAACUGAUGGAAACGUCAGCUAAGACCGCAUAGGUGUAGAGAUCGCAUGAACUCUAUAUGAAAAGUGCUACGGGACUGGUGGAUGAUGGACUUAUGGCGCAUUAGCUUGUUGGUAGGGUAACGGCCUACCAAGGCGACGAUGCGUAGCCGACCUGAGAGGGUGACCGGCCACACUGGGACUGAGACACGGCCCAGACUCCUACGGGAGGCAGCAGUAGGGAAUUUUCGGCAAUGGGGGAAACCCUGACCGAGCAACGCCGCGUGAAGGAAGAAGUAAUUCGUUAUGUAAACUUCUGUCAUAGAGGAAGAACGGUGGAUAUAGGGAAUGAUAUCCAAGUGACGGUACUCUAUAAGAAAGCCACGGCUAACUACGUG